rnacentral:rRNA from 1 species
GGAAAGACCUAGCAAUAGGUAUGCUUAGGGAAGAGCUUGCGUCACAUUAGUUAGUUGGUGGGGUAAUGGCCUACCAAGACGAUGAUGUGUAGCCGGGCUGAGAGGUCGAACGGCCACAUUGGGACUGAGACACGGCCCAAACUCCUACGGGAGGCAGCAGUAAGGAAUUUUCGGCAAUGGAGGAAACUCUGACCGAGCAAUGCCGCGUGAACGAUGAAGUAUUUCGGUACGUAAAGUUCUUUUAUUAGGGAAGAAAAGAUGGUGGAAAAACCAUUAUGACGGUACCUAAUGAAUAAGCCCCGGCUAACUAUGUGCCAGCAGCCGCGGUAAUACAUAGGGGGCAAGCGUUAUCCGGAAUUAUUGGGCGUAAAGGGUGCGUAGGCGGUUAAAUAAGUUUAUGGUCUAAGUGCAACGCUCAACGUUGUGAUGCUAUAAAAACUGUUUAGCUAGAGUUGGAUAGAGGCAAGUGGAAUUCCGUGUGUAGUGGUAAAAUGCGUAAAUAUACGGAGGAACACCAGAAGCGAAGGCGGCUUGCUGGGUCUUAACUGACGCUGAGGCACGAAAGCGUGGGGAGCAAACAGGAUUAGAUACCCUGGUAGUCCACGCCCUAAACGAUGAGUACUAAACGUUGGAUAAAACCAGUGUUGAAGUUAACACAUUAAGUACUCCGCCUGAGUAGUACGUACGCAAGUAUGAAACUUAAAGGAAUUGACGGGACUCCGCACAAGCGGUGGAUCAUGUUGUUUAAUUCGAAGGUACCCGAAAAACCUCACCAGGUCUUGACAUGCUUUUGCAAAGCUGUAGAAAUACAGUGGAGGUUAUCAGAAGCACAGGUGGUGCAUGGUUGUCGUCAGCUCGUGUCGUGAGAUGUUGGGUUAAGUCCCGCAACGAGCGCAACCCUUGUUGUUAAUUGCCAUCAUUAAGUUGGGGACUUUAGCAAGACUGCCAAUGAUAAAUUGGAGGAAGGUGGGGACGACGUCAAAUCAUCAUGCCCCUUAUGACCUGGGCUACAAACGUGAUACAAUGGCUGUUACAAAGGGUAGCUAAAGCGUAAGCUUCUGGCGAAUCUCAAAAAAGCAGUCUCAGUUCGGAUUGAAGUCUGCAACUCGACUUCAUGAAGUUGGAAUCGCUA